rnacentral:sRNA from 2 species
CAAUUAUUUUAUUAGUAUAGAGAUUUUCACUGCUUCGCAUCUCUAAUUGGUUUAAACACAGAGAAUCUCCACUUUUAUUUCUGGAGUAGAGACUUGACUUUUCGACUAGUUCGCAAUCGACUCUAUUCUUAGCCUUGAAUUAUCUGCCUCUCUAACCACCUAUUUAUCUAAAGACCUGCUCGAUAUUCAAUCGAUUGCUAAUAGAAGAAAGAACGGUAGCGAUCUAUCUAUUUACGUCUGUGCGCGAUAUCUGAUCAAUCUAUAUGAAUAGAUAUUGCUCACUUGCUACCGAGUCUUUAAUUUAGCAAGCUUCUUACUGUAUAUAAGAUACGGUCGGGCUUAUAUAGUGCUUCUGAGCUUGAUCACUAGAUCAGAAGGGGUAGUGCCACUAUCACAGAUUAAGGUAUAUUGUUGAAAGAUAGAAUGACUAGCAAUAGCUACAGUGAUAAUCUAAAGUAUUUAAAAUGAGUAUUAAAUAAAGCUUAUAGAGUAAG